GACAUAUCGUCGUCACCAUACUGACUCAUUUAUUUUAAUUUUUACGAUCGAUCCGGGGGCUUGGCCUCUAAACGUUUGGCGUGUCACAAAUUUGGAAAUUAGGGUUUAGAAUUAGAACUUGGGAUCUUCGAAUUUAGGAACUUGCCACUUGGGAAAUUGCAUCUUGGGAAACUUGCGACUUGGAAAAUUGCGACUUGGAAAAUUGCAACUUGGGAACUUGCAACUUGGGAAAUUGCAUCUUGGGAAAUAGCAAGUUGGAAACUUGCGACUUGGGAAAUUGCAACUUGGGAUCUUGCAACCUGGGAAAUUGCAUCUUGAGAAAUUGCAACUUGGGAACUUAUAGCUUAAGAACUUAACUCCUCCACAUUCGUCAUAUUCACAUCACUCAGAAAACAAUUUCAACACAAUUUCCACUUCAAGGGGUUAAAUUACCUACGGGACAGGUUCGUAAUCCUCGACGAAACUAUGAUCCAAUGUAGCUGUCUUUUUGCGCAAAACGCCUCGUUAAUUGCUGACGUAUAAUUAAGUAACCGGUCGACGUAUGAAAGGUAGCUCUUCUAGCUCGUUUGAAUAGACGGUCGGGAGGUGAAAUUAAAUCGUUAAACGCAAUUGUGCAGUUGUGAAUGAAUGCUGGAGAGCCGGUUACGUUUAGAGGCGUAUGAACGUAUAUGGAGGUACCCUGGGCGCAUCCAGCGAUGAAAUAAAAUCGGAGGUGAUCGCACUUGGAAGAAUGCGAGCUUGACUCACCGUCACUGGUCUUGCUUGAACAAGAUGAGGGUUUACUGGACCGCACGUGGCCACGUGUUAUAGUCCAGUGAAGGGAUAAAAGCAAAAGGUGUUCCUUUCUUUCUUACGUGUAUUCAGGUUUUUCGUUUAACCCUUUGCAGCUGAGAGCUGACUCAUACUCGUUACUUACUUUAACUUUUAUUCAGAAAAAAGAGUCAUUUUAAAGCUCGGAGUCUUAAACUCUGACUUUUAAGUUCAGAGUUCCCAAGUUCCCAAGUUCAAUUUGCAAGCUCCUAAGUUCUAAGGUCCCAAAUUCUAAAGUUCUAAUUUCCAAGUUCCUAAGUUCUAAGGUCCCAAAUUCUAAAGUUCUAAUUUCCAAGUUCCUAAGUUCUAAGGUCCCAAGUUCUAAAGUCCCAAUUUCCAAGUUUCUAAGUUUAAAGAUCCUAAGUCCAAAGGUCCAAAAUUUACACCUUAAUUAUUGGCGCCAUCUUCAUAUGCAAAUCACUAGUUUCAACAUCAGAAUAACUCUACUUUCCGCUUGCAACGGGCAUACAAAUAGAGAUUGACGAGGGGAAUUAGCUAACAGGCCAAUUUUCGCUAACACGACGGACAAUGUUUGCGUUUACAGAGACCGAGACCGAAUGGCCUAAGUAAAUUGAACGUUACAAAGUUUCGUCCCGUUUCUCGUGAGGCCAGAAAACUAGUUCUGUAACAAGCGAGCACGAGUCGUAAUAACCGCGAGGGUUCAAGGUGUUCUACUUUCGAAUUGUAUGAAUUACAUGUUGACUGGUGUAACCAAAAUUGGAGUACAAUGUACAGUUAGGUGAAUUAGCUCAUCGAUUAAAAAUUAACUACCUAUCUAGAAGACUGACGAUUGGCAUUCCAUGUGAACAUCCGCGAUACGACAGAAACGGUGGCAAUUAAUUAUACCGGUAAUUGAUCCGUAUCGUUCACCUUGAUCGCGACCGGACUUCACUUUCGCCCUCGUUGUAAAUCAAAUCACGCGUGAAUCCAGUGACGUGUAACACGAUAGAGGGAAAAGUUGAUGAUCUUACCGGACUAUAGGAACGAUUAAUUGCUAGCCAAUCAUCGAAUGAUGCGAUGUUAAAUGGGUAGAAGGAAUCUAUCGUUGGUGCCGAGUUGUUGGAUAACUUGGAAAACUUGUCUUCAGGAUUGAUUCAUUAGAAUUGCAGUAUGGUGCAUUGCUGAUUGCAUCAGAUAAUCAACGAUGUAGGUCGAUUAAAAUUCGUGACAUUGUUUUUCACUGUAGCCACAUGGCUAUGUAUUUUAAUUAGGACAUUUUAGAAGUAUAGUUUGUCAAAUGACUGUGUUCAAGAA